ACGCACGCUGGCGGCGUGCUUCACCCCUGCCAGUCGAACGGAAAGGCCCCUUUGGGGGUACUCGAGUGGCGAACGGGUGAGUAACACGUGAGUAACCUGCCCUUGACUUCGGGAUAACUUCAGGAAACUGGGGCUAAUACCGGAUAGGAAUCCUUGCUGCAUGGUGGGGGUUGGAAAGCUUCGGCGGUUUUGGAUGGACUCGCGGCUUAUCAGCUUGUUGGUGGGGUAGUGGCUUACCAAGGCUUUGACGGGUAGCCGGCCUGAGAGGGCGACCGGCCACAUUGGGACUGGGAUACGGCCCAGACUCCUACGGGAGGCAGCAGGGGGGAAUAUUGCACAAUGGGCGGAAGCCUGAUGCAGCAACGCCGCGGGCGGGAUGACGGCCUUCGGGUUGUAAACCGCUUUCAGCAGGGGCGAAGCUUGUGGUGACGGUACCUGCAGAAGAAGCACCGGCUAACUACGUG
rnacentral:rRNA from 1 species